UACGUAGGGUGCAAGCGUUGUCCGGAAUUAUUGGGCGUAAAGAGCUCGUAGGCGGUCUGUCGCGUCGGCUGUGAAAACCCGGAGCUCAACUCCGGGCCUGCAGUCGAUACGGGCAAACUGGAGUGUUGCAGGGGAGACUGGAAUUCCUGGUGUAGCGGUGAAAUGCGCAGAUAUCAGGAGGAACACCGGUGGCGAAGGCGGGUCUCUGGGCAACAACUGACGCUGGGGAGCGAAAGCAUGGGGAGCGAACAGG
rnacentral:rRNA from 1 species